rnacentral:rRNA from 1 species
CUCCUGGGAAACGGGUGGUAAUGCCGGAUGCUCCAUCACACCGCAUGGUGUGUUGGGAAAGCCUUUGCGGCAUGGGAUGGGGUCGCGUCCUAUCAGCUUGAUGGCGGGGUAACGGCCCACCAUGGCUUCGACGGGUAGCCGGCCUGAGAGGGCGACCGGCCACAUUGGGACUGAGAUACGGCCCAGACUCCUACGGGAGGCAGCAGUGGGGAAUAUUGCACAAUGGGCGCAAGCCUGAUGCAGCGACGCCGCGUGAGGGAUGGAGGCCUUCGGGUUGUAAACCUCUUUUGUUAGGGAGCAAGGCACUUUGUGUUGAGUGUACCUUUCGAAUAAGCACCGGCUAACUACGUGCCAGCAGCCGCGGUAAUACGUAGGGUGCAAGCGUUAUCCGGAAUUAUUGGGCGUAAAGGGCUCGUAGGCGGUUCGUCGCGUCCGGUGUGAAAGUCCAUCGCUUAACGGUGGAUCCGCGCCGGGUACGGGCGGGCUUGAGUGCGGUAGGGGAGACUGGAAUUCCCGGUGUAACGGUGGAAUGUGUAGAUAUC